CUGCUCCUGAUCUUCGACAGCCGUGCCGCACCCAGACCUGGUCACAAACAUGAGACACCUUCUCGUGCUCCUCGCUUUCCUGUGCUUCAUUGUCUGCGCCGCGGUGGGCGCGCCGUGUCUGACGGGCUGCUUCGGCGGCCGGGGCAACAUGGUGCGCGUGCCUUCGGGCUCCUUCACCUCACGCGGCAGCGGCGCGCGCUCCCAGACCACCAGGGACAGCACCACCAGCUCCAAGAGGGGAAGCCCGAGCUCCUUUAGCGCCGCCAGUCGGAGCAGCAGCCGCGGCAGUCAACACGGCUAGUUAGUGCAGGGCCAGCACCACCAGCUCCAUAAGAAGGGAAGCCCGAGCUCCUUUAGCGCAGCCAGUCGGAGCAGCAGGCGCGGCAGCCAAACACGGCUAGCAGUGCAGGGCCAAGGCCAACCGCUUCAUUGAAAUUUUUGUGCGAAAAAGAAAAUUGAAAGAAAAUUUUAAAAAAAUAAGAAAUUGCUAUUUUCAAAA